GAUGAACGCUAGCGGCAGGCCUAAUACAUGCAAGUCGAACGGGUGGUCGCAAGACCACUAGUGGCGCACGGGUGCGUAACGCGUAACCAACCUGCCCCGAUCUGGGGGAUAGCCCGCCGAAAGGCGGAUUAAUACCGCAUAUACCCGCAGCCUGGCAUCAGGCAACGGGGAAAGAUUUAUUGGAUCGGGAUGGGGUUGCGUGACAUUAGCUAGUUGGCGGGGUAAGGGCCCACCAAGGCGACGAUGUCUAGGGGACCUGAGAGGGUGAUCCCCACACUGGCACUGAGAUACGGGCCAGACUCCUACGGGAGGCAGCAGUAGGGAAUAUUGGGCAAUGGGCGAGAGCCUGACCCAGCCAUGCCGCGUGCCGGAUGAAGGCCUUCUGGGUUGUAAACGGCUUUUCUCAGGGAAGAAAAAGACCUUGCGAGGUACACUGACGGUACCUGAGGAAUAAGCACCGGCUAACUCCGUG
rnacentral:rRNA from 1 species